UACGAAGGGGGCGAGCGUUGUUCGGAUUUACUGGGCGUAAAGGGCGCGCAGGCGGCUCAUUUUGUCAGGCGUGAAAGCCCCGGGCUUAACCUGGGAACUGCGUUUGAUACGGAUGGGCUAGAGUUCGGGAGGGGAGAGUGGAAUUCCCAGUGUAGAGGUGAAAUUCGUAGAUAUUGGGAAGAACACCGGUGGCGAAGGCGGCUCUCUGGACCGAGACUGACGCUGAGGCGCGAAAGCGUGGGGAGCAAACAGG
rnacentral:rRNA from 1 species